rnacentral:rRNA from 1 species
UACGGAGGGUGCAAGCGUUAUCCGGAUUCACUGGGUUUAAAGGGUGCGUAGGUGGGCAAGUAAGUCAGUGGUGAAAUCUCCGGGCUUAACCCGGAAACUGCCAUUGAUACUAUUUGUCUUGAAUACUGUGGAGGUCAGCGGAAUAUGUCAUGUAGCGGUGAAAUGCUUAGAUAUGACAUAGAACACCAAUUGCGAAGGCAGCUGGCUACACAAAUAUUGACACUGAGGCACGAAAGCGUGGGGAUCAAACAGGAUUAGAUACCCUGGUAGUCCACGCCCUAAACUAUGGAUACUCGACAUUUGCGAUAAACUGCAAGUGUCUGAGCGAAAGCAUUAAGUAUCCCACCUGGGAAGUACGAUCGCAAGAUUG